GCAAAUUGGAACCUCUCUCUCCAAAUCCGUUUCUUCCUCACGCAAUCCUCUAAUCGCAAAUCAGAUAUUAUGGAUUUGAAGUUGAAUCUAAAUUUUGCAUCUUGGGCGAAAAUUUGGGGAUUUACUCCUCCUCAAACCAAGAACUCCUCUCACCUCAAUAACUCCUCCGUCAUCAAUUCCUCUUUACGUUUCCUCCAAUUUCCGGAUGGAACGCAGAAAUUUCAAUACGUGUUUCAAUUUUUUAGUUUUUCUUAUUUGAUUCUUACUUCUUCUUUCAUACUUCUUGAUUUCAAAUUUUAGGGAUGUGAAAUCCCUCAAUAGCUCCUCCCUCAUCAAUCCCUCUUUAGGUUUCCGAUAAAAAAUUUGGAAAUUUUGGAAUGCUCUCAGAUCGGAAAUCUACUUUUGCAGCCCGCGAAAUUUCGGAGUCCUCUUCUUCAAUGCCAUGCUAGAGGUCCGGAGUUUGUCAAAUUUCAGGGUUUCCUCCUUCAAUGUGAGAUUUUGAAUGCUUAAUUUUAAGGAUAUUGUCAAGUACGUAAGUUCUCCAUAAGGAUCGGUUACAACUGGUGAAGAUCGGAGAGUUGGGUUUGACAGCAAUUGUGGGGAAGAACCACUCUGCAUAUUCAGGUCUUGGGAUACUAAAAUUUAUGCCACAUGAGUUAUAUGAAGAGGCCUGCCUACACAGAAAUUGUGGAAUACUCAUUUGGAAUGUGUGUUGGAGAUGGUGAAACUAUAGAUUCCCGUGAGUGUGACAGUGUUGUCAAUAUAUACAAGAAGAUGUCUUCAGAAGUGAGACCUCAGGCCUUGAACGGGUCCUUCAUUGAGAAGUGCCUUGCUCAACCAGGGGCCUAGACCUCUGCCACUGAGUUGCUCGAAGACCCUUACAUGUCCUUUACUGUGAUGAAAACAAUGAUUCUGGAUAAUACUUUAUGUGUAAUUUUCUUCUCUUUUAUAAAGAAAAUUGAUUGAACUAUUUUUUAGUUGAUAAGUCAGUUUCAUCAAGGCAUACUUGACGACAUAUUAGUGAUUUAAUUUAAUUUUGUUUUUUCUUUGUAGGCGUGAACAUGGAGAUGAGUUUAUAUUUGUAAAAUCAACAUAAUUGUAA